UGCGUGCGUGCGUGCAUGCGUGCGUGCAUGCGUGCGUGUGUUCUUGUGGAGUUUAACUCCGAGAAGACAGUUAACCACAAGUUCCUGUUGAUCUUAUGAUGGACAUGUGUUUUGAUAUUUAACCAAACAAUCCGUCAAC